rnacentral:lncRNA from 1 species
AGCGGGGUGGGGGAAGAACUUCAAUCUAUUCAAUAUUCAUCAUGAAAUCUGAUUGUAGCUAGACACCUUAUGAGUGUAUUAUAUAUGACUCCUUUAUUAACCAGGAUGAUUCUGCAGACUUCCUUGACACUUCCCUCAAAAAAAAAAAAUAAUGGCUUUCCUAAAAUAGCAAAAUUCAUAACUGCAAAGGAUCCCAAUACCAAAAAAUUCCUUUCAGAUCACAAUCCUAAUGAAUUUAAAACUCUCCCAAUCCAAGCUAAACCCAAAGUAGGACCUUUGAAUGAUAUUCCCACUAGAAAUAAGUUUUAGAAACUCACUAAAUAAAUAGGCCCACAAUUGAGUAUGAAAAUCCCAAAAACAUAAACAAUCCUAGAUUUCUUCCAAGAAACUUAAGUACAAAACUUAUAAUACUCAAUAAAAAGCAAAGUUAACUGAAAGUAAAAAUAAAAAAUCAAAUAAACCUACUUACACCAUGACCUAAGUGAUUUCUCGAGUAUUACAAUUUACAUGCAUGUUUUUUGAAGAUUUGUGUGCUGUUGCAUAAUGGAUAUUUUUCACCAGUUAUGCCUUGCUGUGUUCACAACUUCACAUACUACUUCCCACAUCCGCACCUUGACGGCAACUAUCUUCCACAAUGUAUUGAGUCUAUUGACUUCUUUUUGUUAUGUUAAAACUCAAAAGACAAACAGCUAAUUAUAUAAAAAGGCAUCCUGCAUUAAUGAUUUAACAUUAUAAUAAUGCAAGCUCCCCAUCUAGAUGAAAUGAAGCUGGCAUCACACAUCAAAGGUACAUAACUGAAAAAAUAUUCACUAGUUUUGUCAUGAAUUUCAGAAAUCCACAUCUUGACCAUUUAAUAACAAAACAUUUUUGAAAGGAAUACUAUAUAGAGAUUAAAAAAAAAGCAUCUCACCAAUAGAGUAA